AUUGAACGCUGGCGGCAUGCUUUACACAUGCAAGUCGAACGGCAGCACGGGGGCAACCCUGGUGGCGAGUGGCGAACGGGUGAGUAAUGUAUCGGAACAUGUCCGGAAGUGGGGGAUAACCUGGCGAAAGUUAGAUUAAUACCGCAUAUGCCCUGAGGGGGAAAGGAGGGGAUCUUAAGACCUUUCGCUUUCGGAGUGGCCGAUAUCAGAUUAGCUAGUUGGUGAGGUAAAGGCUCACCAAGGCGACAAUCUGUAGCUGGUCUGAGAGGACGACCAGCCACACUGGGACUGAGACACGGCCCAGACUCCUACGGGAGGCAGCAGUGGGGAAUUUUGGACAAUGGGGGCAACCCUGAUCCAGCCAUGCCGCGUGAGUGAAGAAGGCCUUCGGGUUGUAAAGCUCUUUUGUCCGGAAGGAAAUCCUGCACAUUAAUACUCUGUAUGGAUGACGGUACCGGAAGAAUAAGCACCGGCUAACUACGUGCCAGCAGCCGCGGUAAUACGUAGGGUGCAAGCGUUAAUCGGAAUUACUGGGCGUAAAGCGUGCGCAGGCGGUCCGGUAAGACAGACGUGAAAUCCCCGGGCUUAACCUGGGAACUGCGUUUGUGACUGCAAGGCUAGAGUAUGGCAGAGGGGAGGUAGAAUUACACGUGUAGCAGUGAAAUGCGUAGAGAUGUGGAGGAAUACCGAUGGCGAAAGCAGCCCCAUGGGUCAAUACUGACGCUCAUGCACGAAAGCGUGGGAGCGAACAGGAUUAGAUAUCAUGGUAGUGCACGUCCAAACGAUGUCAGAUAGGUGUUGGGGGAGGAGACUUCAUUAGUAUAGCAGCUAACGCGUGAAGUUGACCGCCUGGCGAGUACGGUCGCAAGGUUGGAACUCAAAGGAAUUGACGGGGACCCGCACAAGCGGUGGAGUAUGUGGAUUAAUUCGAUGCAACGCGAAAAACCUUACCUACCCUUGCCAUGCCGAGAAUCCCGAAGAGAUUUGGGAGUGCCCGAAAGGGAACUUGGACACAGGUCAGGCAUGGCAGUCGUCAGCUCGUGUCGUGAGAUGAGGGGUUAAGUCCCGCAACGAGCGCAACCCUUGUCAUUAAUUUCCAUCAUUUAGUUGGGCACUUUAAUGAGACUGCCGGUGAUAAACCGGAGGAAGGUGGGGAUGACGUCAAGUCCUCAUGGCCCUUAUGGGUAGGGCUUCACACGUAAUGCAAUGGUCGGUACAGAGGGUCGCCAACCCGCGAGGGGGAGCCAAUCCCAGAAAGCCGAUCGUAGUCCGGAUUGCUCUCUGCAACUCGAGAGCAUGAAGUCGGAAUCGCUAGUAAUCGCGGAUCAGCAUGUCGCGGUGAAUACGUUCCCGGGUCUUGUACACACCGCCCGUCACACCAUGGGAGCGGGUUUUGCCAGAAGUAGUUAGUCUAACCGCAAGGAGGGCGGUUACCACGGCAGGGUUCGUGACUGGGGUG
rnacentral:rRNA from 1 species